UCCCAGCCGUAACUACUCCACGAGAAGCCCACACACGUUGCUUUUUCCCCUCCGCCCCGCUUCUCCCAUCUAGUCGCCGGACGGCCGUCCCACGCUGCUCCUCCGCUCGCUGCCUCUCCCAUCGAGAAUCACCCUCUCCUACGAGCGGAUCGCCGCCCUCCGGUCCACCAUGUGCCGUCGCCUCGCCGCCCCUCGAUGCUGCCCGUGUGCAAUGCCGUCCGCUGCAACACAUUACCACGCCCUCCCGACCGCAUACUCCUCGCCUUGCAGCGGCGCCCGGCACGCACACCCCCGCACCGGCCCUCUCCAUCUCCCGGCCCCGUCGUCUACCCGUCUCGCCGCUGGCGAGGCAGCCAAGAAGAUCGCGAGCAGCGCAUCCUUUGCCGACUGUAGUGCCCCUCCAGAUGUCAUCCUGCAUCCCCUCUUUGUCUCGCGGGAUGACCCCCAAUGAGCCGGUGUAUUUGUUGUACGGCGAUGGUGGCUUCUCUUCUAUCAAAAAAAAAAAAGUUGAGGCAAGAGCAUGAUUCAGUUGCGAGGGACAAAGGCAAUUCCAGGAUGACAGUAGAAUUUGAUGAGGGAGAAUGAGCUCAACAGUCUUCCAGACUCUGGGAGCAUUUUUUAUAUUUUUUCUGCAGAUGCAGGCAUGCAACAUUGUAAGUGGACGGGCAACUAAAAUAUAUGAGUCAUUGCUGCCAUCCACGAAAAGACUUGAAUGAGGCAAAGGAAUACAAAAAUAAUCUGCCAGAUGCUACAAAGAUGACUGCAGCAGUCAUGGAUGUAAAAAAGGCGCAUUUCAAUCAUUGAGUUUUAAAUCAUGGACAUGGAGCCAUGGAUUAGUGAAGGAACAUCCUAAAUUGUUCGAAGUAUGUGGGAUUGCUUGUUUUGAGCUAGGAGGAUUUUGAUGUACAUAACUCUAUUUUUUGGAAUUCUGAACUGAAGUUUGCACCUUGUAUCUUUUAGAAAGAAAGGAAGAUUGUAUGUGGCACUGUCUUCCUUUAUUUAUUUUUUCUCUUUGCAGCUACAGGAUUGUACAUGCGAACUACUACCUGUGUAACAAAAUAUAAGAUGUAUUUGUAGGCUAAACUAGGCUACAAAAACGUCUUUUAUUUUGGUACAGAGGGAGUACAU